GUGAAUCAAAUCCAACUCACCUUGCAUUGCAUGAUUUGAAAGUAAAGUGACAGAUGUUUACAAAUAUAAUGUAACGUAUUUACCUUCAAAUGUAAGCCAAACUUCGGAAUUCUUGAUCCGAAAAUGUCUCUCUUCCAUUGCUGAUAGGAACACCUCAAUAGAAGGAGCCAAGAAAUAGCACUUUUCCUUCUCCAAGCCCUUCCCUUCAACCUCUCCUCCUCUCUCCCAGUUCCUCAAAAAUCCAUCAUCUAUCUUUGCUUCUGACAAGAGGGAACAGCCAUGAACAUUAUUUGGGAGUUUGGCACUCAUUGCCAGAGUCAUCUAAAUAUUCACAUUGGAUUUCUUUCCACGAGGAUUAACUAAUGGUUGAGUAAAAUGAAGACUUAGAUAACCAGGCAUUUUGUGUGGCAUGUGGUCGAAUAUGCCCAUAUGCAGAAAAAGAAAGCUUCAAAAACAGCACGGAAAGUUUUGAUGACAUCUUUGAAAGAGAAUUUGUUAAUAUCCAAUCUUUGGGGUUGUGGAACUCGUCAUCCAAAAAACUCAGAAGCAAUGCUUCUAUCCAUCAGUUCUUUUUAUGUACUUCAGCAAUGUAACAAGAAGGAAAGGUACU